rnacentral:rRNA from 1 species
UGAGGAAUAUUGGUCAAUGGACGCAAGUCUGAACCAGCCAAGUAGCGUGCAGGAUGACGGCCCUAUGGGUUGUAAACUGCUUUUAUAUGGGGAUAAAGUGGGGAACGUGUUCCCUUUUGCAGGUACCAUAUGAAUAAGGACCGGCUAAUUCCGUUCCAGCAGCCGCGGUAAUACGGAAGGUUCGGGCGUUAUCCGGAUUUAUUGGGUUUAAAGGGAGCGUAGGCCGUUUGGUAAGCGUGUUGUGAAAUGUAGGAGCUCAACUUCUAGAUUGCAGCGCGAACUGUCAGACUUGAGUGCGCACAACGUAGGCGGAAUUCAUGGUGUAGCGGUGAAAUGCUUAGAUAUCAUGAAGAACUCCGAUUGCGAAGGCAGCUUACGGGAGCGAAACUGACGCUGAAGCUCGACGGUGCGGGUAUCGAACAGG